UCUGUCUGGAGUAGGGGCCAGUGGGGAAGAGUUAGGUCUGGAGUAGGGGCCAGUGGGGAAGAGUUAGGUCUGGAGUAGGGGCCAGUGGGGAAGAGUUAGGUCUGGAGUAGGGGCCAGUGGGGAAGAGUUAGGUCUGGAGUAGGGGCCAGUGGGGAAGAGUUAGGUCUGGAGUAGGGGCCAGUGGGGAAGAGUUAGGUCUGGAGUAGGGGCCAGUGGGGAAGAGUUAGGUCUGGAGUAGGGGCCAGUGGGGAAGAGUUAGGUCUGGAGUAGGGGCCAGUGGGGAAGAGUUAGGUCUGGAGUAGGGGCCAGUGGGGAAGAGUUAGGUCUGGAGUAGGGGCCAGUGGGGAAGAGUUAGGUCUGACAGUAACUGGUCUGUGUGUUGUG